rnacentral:rRNA from 1 species
UACGUAGGUCCCGAGCGUUGUCCGGAUUUAUUGGGCGUAAAGCGAGCGCAGGUGGUUUAUUAAGUCUGGCGUAAAAGGCAGUGGCUCAACCAUUGUAUGCAUUGGAAACUGGUAGACUUGAGUGCAGGAGAGGAGAGUGGAAUUCCAUGUGUAGCGGUGAAAUGCGUAGAUAUAUGGAGGAACACCGGUGGCGAAAGCGGCUCUCUGGCCUGUAACUGACACUGAGGCGCGAAAGCGUGGGGAGCAAACAGG